rnacentral:rRNA from 1 species
UGGGGAAUAUUGCACAAUGGGGGAAACCCUGAUGCAGCGACGCCGCGUGAGUGAAGAAGUAUUUCGGUAUGUAAAGCUCUAUCAGCAGGGAAGAUAAUGACAGUACCUGACUAAGAAGCCCCGGCUAACUACGUGCCAGCAGCCGCGGUAAUACGUAGGGGGCAAGCGUUAUCCGGAUUUACUGGGUGUAAAGGGAGCGUAGACGGAGUGGCAAGUCUGAAGUGAAAACCCUGGGCUUAACCUGGGGACUGCUUUGGAAACUGUUAAUCUAGAGUGUUGGAGAGGUAAGUGGAAUUCCUGGUGUAGCGGUGAAAUGCGUAGAUAUCAGGAAGAACACCGGAGGCGAAGGCGGCUUACUGGACAAUAACUGACGUUGAGGCUCGAAAGCGUGGGGAUCAAACAGGAUUAGAUACCCUGGUAGUCCACGCUGUAAACGAUGAAUACUAGGUGUCGGGGAGCAAAGCUUUUCGGUGCCGUCGCAAACGCAAUAAGUAUUCCACCUGGGGAGUACGUUCGCAAGAAUG